rnacentral:rRNA from 1 species
GAGUUUGAUUCUGGCUCAGGAUGAACGCUAGCGGGAGGCCUAACACAUGCAAGCCGAGCGGGAUUUGUUGGUUAGCUUGCUAACUAAUAAUGAGAGCGGCGUACGGGUGCGUAACACGUGUGCAACCUGCCUUUAUCUGGGGGAUAGCCUUUCGAAAGGAAGAUUAAUACCCCAUAAUAUAUUAAUUGGCAUCAAUUGAUAUUGAAAGCUCCGGCGGAUAGAGAUGGGCACGCGUAAGAUUAGCUAGUUGGUGAGGUAACGGCUCACCAAGGCUGCGAUCUUUAGGGGGCCUGAGAGGGUGAUCCCCCACACUGGUACUGAGACACGGACCAGACUCCUACGGGAGGCAGCAGUGAGGAAUAUUGGACAAUGGGUGAGAGCCUGAUCCAGCCAUCCCGCGUGAAGGACUAAGGACCUAUGGUUUGUAAACUUCUUUUAUACAGGGAUAAACCUACUCUCGUGAGGGUAGCUGAAGGUACUGAUGAAUAAGCCCCGCA